CCCUCAUUAAAUCUCAAUAACCUUUACGUGGUAUGAGGGAUAACUAGCACUAAAGUUGUGAAACUAAUGAUUGA
rnacentral:ribozyme from 1 species